ACACUCCAUAGUUGAGGCCGCCACCACCACACAUUACCAUUUUCGUCCUCAACCUGCCGCCCUGGUGGCUAUGUCGGCCCUCACACUCGAUGCCCUCACACUCAUUACCAUUAUUGCUAUUAAAUCUAAACAUGGAUUGAAGAAAAAUUUGUAUGUAUGGGAUAGUUAUGCUCGGUAGGAGUUCAUUCAAGAAUGAAGAGGGGGCGGGGCAGUGGUGGCGGUAGCUGCAAGUGCAAGGCGGCAUCCCAGCCUCUGGCGGCUAUGUCGGCCCUCACACUCAAUGCCGACACAACUGACUACGAUGGACCCAUGAGGCCCUGUCGCUAAAAAAAUAUCUGUAAGGACAUCCUCGAGAUCGAGCUUAGGGAGCUCGAGGGUAUUGAGUCUUUUUUAGGAAUAUAAAGAAAACAAGGUAUAUGUUGAUGACGUUUUGGAUGUAGAUAUAUAUGUUUUAUGUUUUAUGUCGUUUUAUGUCUAAGGAUGUUAAGGGAUGAAUGAUUUUGAAAAUACUGAAAUGAUUUUGGAGAUAUAUGUAUUUGUGGAAAUGCAAGUGUCAGAUGAAUUACAUGGAAUUUAGAUAGAGAUAGUAAACUCUAGUAUU